GGAGUCUGGGCCGUGUCUCAGUCCCAAUGUGGCCGUCCGCCCUCUCAGGCCGGCUACUGAUCGUCGCUUUGGUGGGCCGUUACCCCGCCAACUGGCUAAUCAGACGCGGAACCAUCUCAUACCGAUAAAUCUUUUCACACCUGAUCAUGCGAUCUUGUGCGCUUAUGCGGUAUUAGCAGGAAUUUCUUCCUGUUAUCCCCCUGUAUGAGGCAGGUUUUCCACGCGUUACUCACCCGUCCGCCACUAGGUACAAACAAGUUUGAUUCCGUGCAAGCACUUCUUCUCACAGCGUCUGUACCCCGUUCGACUUGCAUGUGUUAGGCACGCCGCCAGCGUUCAUC
rnacentral:rRNA from 1 species